rnacentral:lncRNA from 1 species
AUGCUUAGUUUGACUGUACCCAACAAUCCCACAGGGGAAAUAUGUCCUCUUUCUGAUUGGCCUGACUUGGUGGAUAUUUCAAAAGUGAAGUUGGACUUAGACUUAGUUGGAUUACUCCGACAUUGCGUCACCACUGAAGAGAAGGAUCUUCACCCAGCAAUCAAAAGGCAACCAAAGACAAGAGACAGAGAACAUCUACAUGUUCCAAAGAGAGAAAGCUUGUCUGGAAUGACCAAAGGGUAGACUCUUUGAAGGGCUACUACCAUGGGAAUUGAAUUAAUAUUGUAGAAGGGAUUCAUACUUUUGGAACGAGUUGGUCAGUAUAAUUUGAUUUAGUGUCCUAGAUCCAUGGUAAAGAAAGACCUGAAUUUGAAUGCCACCUUUGACAUAUAAUUACAAAAAAAUUACUUUACUUUUUUGUCUUAGUUUCUUUCUG